rnacentral:rRNA from 1 species
GACGAACGCUGGCGGCGUGCCUAAUACAUGCAAGUAGAACGCUGAAGGAGGAGCUUGCUCUUCUGGAUGAGUUGCGAACGGGUGAGUAACGCGUAGGUAACCUGCCUGGUAGCGGGGGAUAACUAUUGGAAACGAUAGCUAAUACCGCAUAACAGUAGAUAUUGCAUGAUAUCUGCUUGAAAGGUGCAAUUGCAUCACUACCAGAUGGACCUGCGUUGUAUUAGCUAGUUGGUGGGGUAACGGCUCACCAAGGCGACGAUACAUAGCCGACCUGAGAGGGUGAUCGGCCACACUGGGACUGAGACACGGCCCAGACUCCUACGGGAGGCAGCAGUAGGGAAUCUUCGGCA